CGAACGCUGGCGGUAUGCUUAACACAUGCAAGUCGAACGAGAAAACCACUUCGGUGGCAAGUAAAGUGGCGCACGGGUGAGUAACGCGUAGAUAAUCUACCCUUUAGUCUGGGACAACUUUCCGAAAGGAGAGCUAAUACUGGAUAAUACCUUGGGUCGAAUGGCCUAAGGUUGAAAGAUUUAUCGCUAAAGGAUGAGUCUACGUACCAUUAGCUAGUUGGUGGGGUAACGGCCUACCAAGGCAGCGAUGGUUAGCGGGUCUGAGAGGAUGAUCCGCCACACUGGAACUGAGACACGGUCCAGACUCCUACGGGAGGCAGCAGUGGGGAAUUUUGCGCAAUGGGGGCAACCCUGACGCAGCAAUACCGCGUGAGUGAAGAAGGCCUUUGGGUCGUAAAGCUCUUUUCUGAAGGAAGAUAGUGACGGUACUUCAGGAAUAAGCACCGGCUAACUCC
rnacentral:rRNA from 1 species